AUGGCUCCUACCAAGGCUGAGGCUGAUGUAGAGGAUGGAGAAGAGAAGAAGAAGAGGGAAAGGAAAGCAGCCGGAGCUGCUUUCACGUGGAUUCAAAAUAACUUUGCGACGUGCCCUCUGGAUGCCACUGAUGAUGUGAUCCAGACACAUGCUUGUGUGUAUAUGUGGUACGUUGUGUCGAGUACUUUGUUUCCUGACUCCACUGGCAAGAACGCUCCAUGGAUGUGGCUGAAGGCGUUGACCGUCUUUGAUAGCAAAUGGAGCUGGGGUUCAGCGACUCUUGCCUACUUGUACUGA
rnacentral:rRNA from 1 species